rnacentral:rRNA from 1 species
AUGAUCUACUACUGGGAAAGAUUAUCAUCGGUGGCCCUAGUGGAAGAGGUGGAAGAUUCGAUUAUUUGGAAGUUCACUAAGGAUGGGAUAUAUUCUGUUUCCUCGGUAUACAAGGCUCAAUUUGAAGGUCUGACAUCCUUUGAUCUUGUGCAGUCCGUGUGGAGGGUGUGGGCUCCCUCGAGGUGUAAAUUUUUUGCUUGGCUAGUCCUACAAAAUAGGAUCUGGACAUCGGACCGCUUGAUCCGUCGUGGCUGGCCCAACUGCGGAUUGUGCCCUCGUUGUAAGCAUGCACAAGAGUCCGCUGCUCAUCUACUCUUCCAAUGUCGCUUCACAUUGCGCAUUUGAAACGACAUCCUACCGUGGCUUGGAAUGCACCACAUCUCUACUUGUUCAUGGUCGGCGAGCACUUCGGUCAAAGGAUGGUGGAACGGUAACCUUCAGAUUCGUCUCGGCUCCCCCAAAGCCCUUGCCGCAUUGAUGAUGCUCAUCUCAUGGGAGAUUUGGUCCGAAAGAAACGCUAGAGUCUUCCGCAACGUGGCGGUUCCUUCGGUGGUCAUCAUUAACAAGAUCAAGCAUGAGGUGUCGCUCUGGGUUUUGGCGGGUACCAAGCACUUGGGUAUUGUAAUGCUGCCAGAUUAG